rnacentral:misc_RNA from 1 species
UGGCUGACCCAAUUAGUUACAAUGCUAUCCUGUUUAUACAACAUUUUCCUCCCAUAUAUUCUCACAGUUCCUAUUCCGCUUAUUACCAUAACAUAAUACUAAGUUCCGGUACCUCAUAAUAUGACUUUAUUGGUUAACUUGGUCACUCGUAUCAGUUUGAGUUGAGUCCAUUUGAGUUUUAAAUGAUCACAAUUUAAUUUGAGGUAUCAAUGGAUAAAAUUUUUGGGAUAAAGGCUUAG